CUACGGGGUGCUGCAGUGGGGAAUAUUGCACAAUGGGCGCAAGCCUGAUGCAGCCAUGCCGCGUGUAUGAAGAAGGCCUUCGGGUUGUAAAGUACUUUCAGCGGGGAGGAAGGGAGUAAAGUUAAUACCUUUGCUCAUUGACGUUACCCGCAGAAGAAGCACCGGCUAACUCCGUGCCAGCAGCCGCGGUAAUACGGAGGGUACAAGCGUUAAUCGGAAUUACUGGGCGUAAAGCGCACGCAGGCGGUCUGUUAAGUCAGAUGUGAAAUCCCCGGGCUCAACCUGGGAACUGCAUCUGAUACUGGCAAGCUUGAGUCUCGUAGAGGGGGGUAGAAUUCCAGGUGUAGCGGUGAAAUGCGUAGAGAUCUGGAGGAAUACCGGUGGCGAAGGCGGCCCCCUGGACGAAGACUGACGCUCAGGUGCGAAAGCGUGGGGAGCAAACAGGAUUAGAUACCCCCGUAGUC
rnacentral:rRNA from 1 species